rnacentral:rRNA from 1 species
CCUACGGGUGGCAGCAGUGAGGAAUAUUGGUCAAUGGGCUUACGCCUGAACCAGCCAAGUCGCGUGAGGGAAGACUGCCCUAUGGGUUGUAAACCUCUUUUGUCAGGGAGCAACGCCGGCUACGUGUAGCCGGACUGGUAGUACCUGUAGGAAAAGCAUCGGCUAACUCCGUGCCAGCAGGCGCGGUAAUAGGGAGGAUGCGAGCUUUAUCCGGAUUUAUUGGGUUUAAAGGGUGCGUAGGCGGAAUGCCAAGUCAGCGGUAAAAUCGCGGGGCUAAACCUCGCACUGCAGUUGAAACUGGCGGUCUUGAGUGGACGAGAGGAAGGCGGAAUGCGUGGUGUAGCGGUGAAAUGCAUAGAUAUCACGAAGAACUCCGAUUGCGAAGGCAGCAUACCGGCGCGCAACUGACGCUGAGGCACGAAAGCGUGGGUAUCGAACAGGAUUAGAUACCCGUGUAGUC